rnacentral:rRNA from 1 species
UACGUAGGUGGCAAGCGUUAUCCGGAUUUAUUGGGUUUAAAGGGUGCGUAGGCGGACUGUCAAGUCAGCGGUAAAAUACGGGGGCUCAACCUCCGCCCGCCGUUGAAACUGACGGUCUUGAGUGGGCGAGAAGUAUGCGGAAUGCGUGGUGUAGCGGUGAAAUGCAUAGAUAUCACGCAGAACUCCGAUUGCGAAGGCAGCAUACCGGCGCCCAACUGACGCUGAAGCACGAAAGCGUGGGUAUCGAACAGG